GACGAACGCUGGCGGCGUGCCUAAUACAUGCAAGUCGAACGAGAGCGGCCGGUGCUUGCACUGGUCAAUCUAGUGGCGAACGGGUGAGUAGCACGUGGGUAACCUGCCCAUCAGAGGGGGAUAACAUCCGGAAACGGACGCUAAAACCGCAUAGGUCUUCGAGCCGCAUGGCUUGAAGAGGAAAAGAGGCGCAAGCUUCUGCUGAUGGAUGGACCCGCGGUGCAUUAGCUAGUUGGUGAGGUAACGGCUCACCAAGGCCGUGAUGCAUAGCCGACCUGAGAGGGUGAUCGGCCACAUUGGGACUGAGACACGGCCCAAACUCCUACGGGAGGCAGCAGUAGGGAAUCUUCCGCAAAGGACGCAAGUCUGACGGAGCAACGCCGCGUGAGUGAAGAAGGUUUUCGGAUCGUAAAACUCUGUUGUUAGAGAAGAACAAGUGCUAGAGUAACUGUUAGCGCCUUGACGGUAUCUAACCAGAAAGCCACGGCUAACUACGUG
rnacentral:rRNA from 1 species